GCUAGCUUAUUCACCAACAUAACCAAACAAUAUAAAUAAAAUAAAAUAAACCAACACCAAAAACUAAACCAUUCUUUUACCUGAGUAUGGGAGACAGAAAAGGUUCAACCAAAGCAAUAGAAAUAGUACCGCAAGGGAAGGCUGAAAGAGGAAUGAAAUAACCCAUAUAAGUAUUAAAAAGCAAAGAUUAAACCUUGUACCUUUUGCAUCAUGAUUUAGCCAGUAAAUGCAAGCAAAGAGACCUUUAGUUUGAAACCCCGAAACCAGGUGAGCUACCCCGAGACAGCCUAUUAAGGGCCAACCCGUCUCUGUGGCAAAAGAGUGGGAAGAGCUCCGGGUAGAAGUGACAGACCUACCGAACCUGGUGAUAGCUGGUUGCCUAAGAAAUGAAUAGAAGUUCAGCCUCGUACACCUCAGAUCAGACAAGCACUAACUAAGAUAUAAGAGAAAAAUACGAGAGUUAGUUGAAGGGGGUACAGCCCCUUUAACAAAGGAUACAACCUUAUCCAGGAGGAUAAAGAUCAUAAUAUAUAAAAUAUACUGUUCUAGUGGGCCUAAGAGCAGCCACCUAAACAGAAAGCGUUAAAGCUCAGACAGAAAGAAGUUUAUUAUUCUGAUAAAAAAUCUUACUCCCCUAAAUACUAUUAGGCUAAUCCAUGCCCCCAUGGAAGAAAUUAUGCUAAAAUGAGUAACAAGAAGGCUCGCCCUUCUCCAAGCACAAGUGUAAGCCGAACCGGACCAACCAUCGGCAAUUAACGAACUCAGCCCAAGAGAGCAAUGUGAACCAUAAAAAAAACAAGAAAAACCCACACUUAACAAUCGUUACCCCCACACUGGAGUGCUAUUAAAGGAAAGACUAAAAGAAAAGGAAGGAACUCGGCAAACACAAGCCUCGCCUGUUUACCAAAAACAUCGCCUCCUGCAACACAACCAUGUAUAGGAGGUCCAGCCUGCCCAGUGACUACAAGUUCAACGGCCGCGGUAUUUUGACCGUGCAAAGGUAGCGCAAUCACUUGUCUUUUAAAUAGAGACCUGUAUGAAUGGCUAAACGAGGGCUUAACUGUCUCCCCUUUCAGGUCAGUGAAAUUGAUCUGCCCGUGCAGAAGCG
rnacentral:rRNA from 1 species